CGAACGCUGGCGGCGUGCUUAACACAUGCAAGUCAAGGAGAACAUUUUCUUCGGAAAAUUAUUAAACUGGCGAACGGGUGAGUAACACGUAGGUAAUCUGCCUCAGAGAUUGGGAUAACUCGGCGAAAGCCGGACUAAUACCGAAUAACGCAAAGAAUUUUUAGGAAAUUUUUGUUAAAGUGGGCUUCGGCUCACACUUUGAGAUGAGCCUGCGUCCGAUUAGCUUGUUGGUGAGGUAAUGGCUUACCAAGGCGAUGAUCGGUAGCUGGUCUGAGAGGACGAUCAGCCACACUGGAAUUGAGAUACGGUCCAGACUCCUACGGGAGGCAGCAGUGGGGAAUUUUGCGCAAUGGGCGAAAGCCUGACGCAGCAACGCCGCGUGAUCGAUGAAGCUCUUAGGAGUGUAAAGAUCUGUCAUAAGGGAAGAACAACUUUAAUAAAAAUAUUAUUAGAAUUUGACGGUACCUUAUAAGAAAGCACCGGCUAACUUA
rnacentral:rRNA from 1 species